rnacentral:rRNA from 1 species
CCCGGUAGUGGGGGAUAACCUGGGGAAACCCAGGCUAAUACCGCAUACGUCCUACGGGAGAAAGCAGGGGAUCUUCGGACCUUGCGCUAUCGGAUGAGCCUAUGUCGGAUUAGCUAGUUGGUGAGGUAAUGGCUCACCAAGGCUGCGAUCCGUAGCUGGUCUGAGAGGAUGAUCAGCCACAUCGGGACUGAGACACGGCCCGAACUCCUACGGGAGGCAGCAGUGGGGAAUAUUGGACAAUGGGCGAAAGCCUGAUCCAGCCAUGCCGCGUGUGUGAAGAAGGCCUUCGGGUUGUAAAGCACUUUCAGUGAGGAAGAAGGCCUUGAGGUUAAUACCCUCGAGGAAGGACAUCACUCACAGAAGAAGCACCGGCUAACUCCGUGCCAGCAGCCGCGGUAAUACGGAGGGUGCGAGCGUUAAUCGGAAUUACUGGGCGUAAAGCGCGCGUAGGCGGCUUGAUAAGCCGGUUGUGAAAGCCCCGGGCUCAACCUGGGAACGGCAUCCGGAACUGUCAGGCUAGAGUGCAGGAGAGGAAGGUAGAAUUCCCGGUGUAGCGGUGAAAUGCGUAGAGAUCGGGAGGAAUACCAGUGGCGAAGGCGGCCUUCUGGACUGACACUGACGCUGAGGUGCGAAAGCGUGGGUAGCAAACAGGAUUAGAUACCCUGGUAGUCCACGCCGUAAACGAUGUCGACUAGCCGUUGGGCUCCUUGAGAGCUUUGUGGCGCAGUUAACGCGAUAAGUCGACCGCCUGGGGAGUACGGCCGCAAGGUUAAAACUCAAAUGAAUUGACGGGGGCCCGCACAAGCGGUGGAGCAUGUGGUUUAAUUCGAUGCAACGCGAAGAACCUUACCUACCCUUGACAUCGAGAGAACUUUCCAGAGAUGGAUUGGUGCCUUCGGGAACUCUCAGACAGGUGCUGCAUGGCUGUCGUCAGCUCGUGUUGUGAAAUGUUGGGUUAAGUCCCGUAACGAGCGCAACCCUUGUCCCUAUUUGCCAGCGAUUCGGUCGGGAACUCUAGGGAGACUGCCGGUGACAAACCGGAGGAAGGUGGGGACGACGUCAAGUCAUCAUGGCCCUUACGGGUAGGGCUACAC